AUUGAACGCUGGCGGCAUGCCUUACACAUGCACGUCGAACGGCAGCACGGGUGCUUGCCCCUGGUGGCGAGUGGCGAACGGGUGAGUAAUACAUCGGAACAUGUCCUGUAGUGGGGGAUAGCCCGGCGAAAGCCGGAUUAAUACCGCAUACGAUCUACGGAUGAAAGCGGGGGACCUUCGGGCCUCGCGCUAUAGGGUUGGCCGAUGGCUGAUUAGCUAGUUGGUGGGGUAAAGGCCUACCAAGGCGACGAUCAGCAGCUGGUCUGAGAGGACGACCAGCCACACUGGGACUGAGACACGGCCCAGACUCCUACGGGAGGCAGCAGUGGGGAAUUUUGGACAAUGGGCGAAAGCCUGAUCCAGCAAUGCCGCGUGUGUGAAGAAGGCCUUCGGGUUGUAAAGCACUUUUGUCCGGAAAGAAAUCCUUGGCCCUAAUACGGUCGGGGGAUGACGGUACCGGAAGAAUAAGCACCGGCUAACUACGUG
rnacentral:rRNA from 1 species